rnacentral:lncRNA from 1 species
AGAGGCGUCAGGAUCCCUGGCGCCGCCUGAGCCAGCGGCUGCUAGGAGGCUGUGUCCGCAAGCCAGCGGGGCGAGGCGGCUGGGCCCUGCGCGUCAGGUCCCGGCCUGGGGCACCGGGGCUGCCAGCGUCGGAGGAGGCCUGAGAACUGGGAGGAAGCUGGAGAAAAGAUGCCCUCUGAAUCUUUGUGUUUGGCUGCCCAGGCUCGCCUUGACACCGAAUGGUUGAAAACAGAUAUACAGAUGAUAGUGUCGAACCAAGUGGAACAAAGAAAGAAGAUCUGAAUGACAAAGAGAAAAAAGAUGAAGACGAAACUCCUGCACCUGUAUAUAGGGCCAAGUCAAUUCUGGAGACCUGGGUGUGGGUCAAGCAACCAGGAAACGGAAGCCCAAAGAGGAGGGGAGCUUACAGCAGGCCCUGGACUAGGGAUUAACACAAAAACAACAGCAACAAAUCUGAUUUAAGCUUCACACAUUCUUGCUCUGUUGCCAGGCUGGAGUACAGUGGCACAAUCUCGGCUCACUGUCACAAUGUCCGCCUCCAUGGUUCAAGCGAUUCUCCUGCCUCAGCCUCCCUAAUAGCUAGGAAUACAGGCGCAUGACACCACGCCCGGCUCAUUUCUUUUUGUAUUUUUAGUAGAGACGAGAUUUCACCAUGUUGGCCAGGCUGGUUUUGAACUCCAGACCUUGUGAUCCGCCCGCCUCUGCCUCCCAAAGUGCUAGGAUUAGAGGCGUGAGCCACCGCGCCUGGCCUGCAAUUUUCAUCUUUUGGCUGCAAAUAAGUUAUGUCACUAUUCUCAGCUGGGGGAGUGUUUAACUCACAUGUUGCUUCCUCUCUGUUAGACAGGUUUUAAGAUUUAUGAAUAGGUACUGAAUUGUAUCAAUUGCUUUUUUCUUUCUUGAUUGAGCAAUGUUUUUUCUUAUCUUUUUAUGUUGAUAAGGUAACUUAACAGUGAUUGGCUUUUGAAUGUUGAACAUUGCAUUUCUGGAAUUAAAUCAACUUUGUUGUGAUAAAUGAUUAAUACCAUAUUAUGUAUGGUUGAGAUGGGCUUGCUCCUAGUUCAUUUGGUAGUUUUGUACUUAUGUUCACAAGAGAAAGUGGAGUCUAAUUUUUUUUUUUCUGGUGAUUUUUGUUCGUUUGUUUGUUUGUUUGUUUGUUUGUUUUUGCCAUGGAGUCUGGCUCUGUUAUCCAGGCUGGAAUGCAGUGGCGUGAUCUCAACUCAUUGCAAGCUCCACCUUCUGGGUUCAUGCCAUUCUCCUGCUUCAGCCUCCUGAGUAGCUGGGACUACAGGCGCCCAACACCACACCUGGCUAAUUUAUUGUAUUUUUUAGUAGAGACGGGGUUUCACCUUGUUAGCCAGGAUGGUCUCGAUCUCCUGACCUCGUGAUCCACCCGCCUCGGCCUCCCAAAGUGCUGGGAUUACAGGCUUGAGCCACCACGCCCAGACUUGUGAGGUUUUAAUAUGAAGUAUUAAAGCUAUGCUGGUUAGACAAUUUGGAAAAUGUUUCUUCUCCUAUUUCUGACAGAGUUUAUGUAAGAUGUGUGCUAUUUCUUCCUUAAGCAUUUGGAAAGAAUUCACUUAUUAAGCCAUGUGAGACUGUAGUUUUCUUUAUAAGGUGUUUAACUACAGGUUCAAUUACAUAUAUAUAAAUAUUCAUUUUGGUAACCUGUGUUUGCUGAAUCAAUUUGUUCAUUUUAUCGAAAAUUUCAAAGUUAUUCUAUUAUUCAUUUAUCUUUUUAAUACUUAUAAAGUCUCCGGUUAGAGUUUGUGCCUUUUGUCUGUUUUGUUAAUCAAUCUUGCUGGAGGCCAUCAAUUUUAUUAGUGUUUCAAAAAAGCAAACUUUGAUUUUAUUCAUCCCUUUACCAUACUGAAAAUGUUUUGCUUAAUUUCCAAACUUAUAGUUCCACUGUGAUUAAAUAUUUGUAUAACUAAAACUCUGUGGAAUUUGUGUCUUCUCAAUGAUUGAAAAUAUGAUUAAUUUUUAUAAAUAUUGCUUCUGCACUUGAAAAGGAUAUGUAUUCUGCAUGUUGAGCGUAGUGUACCACGUAUCUCAGUUAGGUCCAGUGUGUUAAAUGCAUCCUUUAAAGAUUCUAUGUGCUUACUGAUGUUUGUUUAUUUUUCAGUGGCUGAGACACAGAUAUUAAAGUUUCCCACAAUGAUC